GCUCAUUCUCACAGAGUUCAGAAAAUGACUAAGAACAUUCCAAAAGAGCAGAAAAUUGCUACGAAAUGUAUCAAUUUCACAAGCAUAAAAUCAUAACAUCAAUAACUUAAAGUAAUGAACUGAACAAGAAAACGAAGCCAAACGGAUCUGAAAAGAUCCAUCUUUCAAAGGCUGCAAUACUUUAAUUUGACCGGAGUUCUCCUUGCCUUCGCCAACCGGAAAUGUUGUUCUGCCUCGCCGACUUGAUUUUUCCUGGUUGGCCGCCUGAGUCGGAGUUGUUGCUGAUGCCUGUUCGUUGGGGUGGGAGCUGGUUUCUUCGUCAAUCUCGCUGCUGGCUACUGCUUUCAUCGGGCUGCUGGCGACGUUGGUGUUCGCCACUGCUCCUUGCCAAAGAAAGGAGAAGAGGAACGGAGACAGAGGAGCUUCAUCUUCUGGAUGUUCUCGCCAGAGUCGUCUGGCAGGAGAAAAAUAGAUAAAGAGAGUGGGAGGAGAAGAGGAGAGAGAAGGGCGCUGGGGUUUCUUCGUCCGCUUAUGUUGUUUCUUCUUGGAGGAGAUGGGAGAGAGAAUAAAAAUUGAAGAGAGUCUGGCGAGAUCCUUGCCGAAACCAGGCGGCUGCUCACCGGCUAAACUGGCCAGAGGAGAAAAUCGGAGAAGUAAG
rnacentral:misc_RNA from 1 species